GACGAACGCUGGCGGCGUGCCUAAUACAUGCAAGUCGAACGCACAGUUUAUACCGUAGCUUGCUACACCAUAGACUGUGAGUUGCGAACGGGUGAGUAACGCGUAGGUAACCUGCCUGGUAGCGGGGGAUAACUAUUGGAAACGAUAGCUAAUACCGCAUAAUAUUAAUUAUUGCAUGAUAAUUGAUUGAAAGAUGCAACUGCAUCACUACCAGAUGGCCCUGCGUUGUAUUAGCUAGUAGGUGAGGUAACGGCUCACCUAGGCGACGAUACAUAGCCGACCUGGGAGGGUGAUCGGCCAAACUGGGACCGGGACACGGCCCAGACUCCUACGGGAGGCAGCAGUAGGGAAACUUCGGGCAUGGACGAAAGUCUGAACGGGCAAAGCCGGGUGAGUGAAGAAGGGUCUCGGAUCGUAAAGCUCUUUUGUAAGGGAAGAACGGGUGGGAGAGUGGAAAGUUCACACUGUGACGGUAUCUAACCAGAAAGGGACGGCUAACUACGUG
rnacentral:rRNA from 1 species